AGGGGUAAACCUGAGAAACCCGAAAGGUCGAAGGGAGAAAUUCAUCGCGUUUCGCGACAGGCGGCGAGAGGUCGUGCGACGGCGGAACAAGUUACGUUCCGACGCGCCCUCAGCUCGUCGAUCCGGUUACGAACGUGUGCACUUUUCUCCUGGUAGGACGUCGCGAUCCGUUGGGUGUCAGUCUACGGCCCGGGGUGGAGCCCGCUCGUCGCUUCGGCGCACGAACGGACCCCCGGAGUCCCGGCUGACUCGCUCGACGGUAUAUUGGAAAGGUUAGAGGCCGCUCUCCAGUGAGCGUUCGACUCGGGGCAAGCGCGUCAGACGUGUCGGCCAUCGGACCUGGUGCCGAUUCCGGCCUCUGGCGACUGUUGGCCGUCGAAGUUCUCGAACAGACCUCGGACCGAUCAGCGACGCUAUAGCUUUGGGUACUUUCAGGACCCGUCUUGAAACACGGACCAAGGAGUCUAGCAUGUACGCGAGUCAUUGGGAAUCACUAAACCUAAAGGCGUAAUGAAAGUGAAGGUCUUCCUUGCGGAGAUCGAGGGAGGACGAGCGGUUUACCGUUAAAAGUGGCCGUUCCGCACUCCCGGGGCGUCUCAUUCUCAUCGCGAGAAGAGGCGCACCAAGAGCGUACACGCUGGGACCCGAAAGAUGGUGAACUAUGCCUGGUCAGGACGAAGUCAGGGGAAACCCUGAUGGAGGUCCGUAGCGAUUCU
rnacentral:rRNA from 1 species